rnacentral:tmRNA from 1 species
GGGGGUGACAGGCUUCGACGGGGAUUCAUGAGGCGAGCCGAUGCAUGCCAGGAACCAUGUAACCUGUUAACUGCAUGGAAAAGUUAACUGCAAAUAAUCAAGAAUUUGCACUAGCUGCUUAAGUCAGCUAGCGUCUUUGGGUAGUCAAGCCUGCGGACUUCUCAAAGGCGUCACUUUAGCGGGCUGGUUGCCUGAAAUUUCUCAGGCUCAGGCAAUGAGAUAAACUGAGAUAGCAAUGUUUGGUGCUUGUUGUUUCCACUACCACACAGAGCGAAAACUUCAAAGUGAAACAACUACGCAUGUAGAUUCGACCGUUGAAGGUCUUCGGACAAGGGUUCGAUUCCCUUCACCUCCAUAC